GGGUGCGAUCAUACCAGCACCAAUGCACCGGAUCCCAUCAGAACUCCGUAGUUAAGCGUGCUUG
rnacentral:rRNA from 1 species